UUUAUCACAGAUAGUUACUUAAUACAAGCAUUUUUUUAAAAAGUAAUGCUAUUAGCCAUUGUACAUUAACUAUCAAAAAUAGGCAGUUUCAUUACAAUGUAUGCAGUCCUUGCUACCCUGCAGUGGAGAUGUUUUCAGGUGGGCCUGGGAACAUGAGGCCCUCUCCAGGUGGGUGGGUGAGAUGGCACUUAAAUCUAGGAGCAAGGAGAGGAAGGCUUUACUGCCGAAUAUUGCCUUGUGUUCUUUGACUCUCUUGCAGUAACAAAGGUAAAGUUUGCUGUCUCUUCUUUGAUGAGACAGAAGCUUCCGUCUGCUUAUUACAUGUGCAGUGAAAGAGAGCGUGGUAAGCAGGUGCUCACUUACUGAUCUCUCCAGCAUCUCGGGAAAAUAGAGAAGUAGACAGGAAUUCCUUAGUAGGGACUGUGUAUUUCUCACUGAGAAAACCUCUAGAAGAAAUCCCUCAUCCUUUUAUUUUUUUAAGGCUCUUGAGGAUAUGGUCAUGUGUAUAUGGUUGUUGUAUGCAUCAGAAUGUUCUGGUAAAUAAUGUUGUAUGACUUUAUGCCCCCUACCUUUCCCCUCAGCCAGUCUGCUUCACGUGUGGCCUUGUUCAGGCAGACAAUCAGCAUAGUACAGAUAAAAAUACAAGUCUCUUGAAGACAGAUAAGAAUUACAAAUCUGUCUCAAGCUGGGUGCUGAAAGAACUGAUGGCAGGCUGAUGGCAGACACCUGAUUCAACAGCUGAGGUCCAUUAGAGCAGGUGCUACAACCAGUAUGACUCAACCAUCUUACCUCAUAAAUAUUGAGCAGGCCCAGAGGCCCUUGGGCUCUUCUGCAGGACAGUCUUCUGGGAACUCCUCUUUGGUGCUGUGUGAUGCCUUGCUGAUACAGACCUUUGAGUGGGCAGCGUGGAGGAAGUGUGAAAAAGUAGCAGGAGAAGGAGGCAAAGAGGCAUUUCUGAAUAAGUUGUUGUGACAGAAGGUUUUUCACUGCUAAGAAUCUGUCCAUACAUAGCCCAUCCAGUGGAAUAACCACUAAAAAGAAGUCUAGGUCUUCCUCAGGCAUCUGUACCAGAGCUGUGCUGUCCAUGCUUGUGACAAGACACAAGGGAUUUACACAAACGUCAGUAAGUCACUGGAGUUUAACUGUGGAUUCUUCUUCCUAAGGUCAACAGCUGAAGCUAGAGACAAGGGAAUUUAUUUUGUUGCUGUCUGGACCUUCCCUUUCUGCGCUUAAAAGAUGCUAGUUAUUAGAACUUUGUAUCAGAAACAUCAGUUGGAUGGUUUACCUCAGUCUCAAAACUGUUAAUCAGCUCAAAAUACUUCUAAAACUUUGGAAGGAACAUGAUAUCAAAGUGCUGUUUAUCAGAGCUUUGUAUGAUAUUAAUGGUUGCAAGGUGUUUGCUUAAGGCAAACCUGGCUGUGACUUGUCCAGAAAUAAAAACUGAAGGUUUUGUGGAAGAAAAGUUGUAUACUUAAAGAUGAAAGUCCCUGAACAUACUACAGCCGUUGAUUUUUCUUAUCUAAUUAUCUGUUUUUACAGUUUAAGUCUUAAAUGUAUCUUUUCCUUUGUUUUGUUUUUAAAUGUCCUUGAAGUUAAGAGCAGCCUACCACUCUGUUUCUUUGAACUAGGUAUUUCUGUAAUUUGCAUAUGUGUAGCUUUGUGUUUAUCUGAUUCAAUUUCUUGACAUAAAUAAACCUGAUGCAAUUUUAAAUAUGGUUUAAAUGGAAAGGGGCUGAAGGCAGUCAAACUUGGAAAGCACUCUAUCUCCCUUUUCUGGGAAAACAACCAAAGCCUUUUAGCAAACCUUAAGAGGUGCCUUUAUAAGAUUACGUACUGUAAUAUUCCAUUAAGAAAACAUUUUAAAAUGGUGUUAGGAAAUCAUUAAAUCUUGUUAGACAAUUUCAUUUGGACUUUUGUGUUUAUGGGCUUUCAGAGUGAACUUAGAGAUAGCCAAAAGAGUUGCAUAGCGGUGCGAAGAUCUGGUGCUGCCUUGACUUUUGUCUACAGGGACAGCUGAAACAAACUGAGGAGCAGAAAGGACCUGCUGCUGUGCAUCUCUUGAACGUAUGAACAAUCCGUGUCUGAAUUCUUGGACGCUUAACAGGCAACAGUGGUGGAUUUAUCCAUUGUGCUUUAUAUUCCUCUGAAACUAAAGAAUAUGGGAUACCCUCAGUACCAUCUUUGCACACAUACUUUAGCCAUAUAUACCCUUCCCUCAUUUGUAGGUGUUGCUGAUGGAAGAGAGAAACCUGAAACAUUGGCAACAAGUUUUUAGUCAACAAGAUGUUUUGUCAAAUGGCACCUGAGAGUGCUGUGAUACAGACAUGUGAGUUUUGAAUUCAACAGCAUUCAAUGUCAUGCUCCAGGAAAGCUACUCAACAGAUGGUAAAUUAAAACAACUUCUGUCCCCUAA